rnacentral:lncRNA from 1 species
UCGGCCACACUCGCAUCGGUCCCUGUGAGAAAACAACCCUAGGGCCCUCGGGGGGCCAAAAAAUCACGGAAAAACGGAGCUUACCGGCGGUGGCGCUCUCGGGUGCGGCGGCUCUCCGGCGAGGUUCGUGUUUUGGUGAUUCGGCUCCGGUCAACCUGUAGAGAAAAGAAUGGUGAUCACGGUGAUAUAAAAAUUGCAUCAAACGG